GAUGAAGAACGUAGCGAAAUGCGAUAAGUAGUGUGAGUUGCAGAAUUCAGUGAAUCAUCGAAUCUUUGAACGCACAUUGCGCCCUUUGGUAUUCCAAAGGGCAUGCCUGUUCGAGCGUCAUUUGUACCCUCAAGCUUUGCUUGGUGUUGGGCGUCUUGUCUCUAGCUUUGCUGGAGACUCGCCUUAAAGUAAUUGGCAGCCGGCCUACUGGUUUCGGAGCGCAGCACAAGUCGCACUCUCUAUCAGCAAAGGUCUAGCAUCCAUUAAGCCUUUUUUUCAACUUUUGACCUCGGAUCAGGUAGGGAUACCCGCUGAACUUAAGCAUAUCAAUAAGCGGAGGA
rnacentral:misc_RNA from 1 species